rnacentral:rRNA from 1 species
UACGAAGGGGCUAGCGUUGCUCAGAAUCACUGGGCGUAAAGCGCACGUAGGCGGGUCUUUAAGUCAGGGGUGAAAUCCCGGAGCUCAACUCCGGAACUGCCUUUGAUACUGGAGAUCUUGAGUCCGGGAGAGGUGAGUGGAACUCCGAGUGUAGAGGUGAAAUUCGUAGAUAUUCGGAAGAACACCAGUGGCGAAGGCGGCUCACUGGCCCGGUACUGACGCUGAGGUGCGAAAGCGUGGGGAGCAAACAGG